UACGUAGGGUGCAAACGUUGUCCGGAAUUAUUGGGCGUAAAGAGCUCGUAGGCGGUUUGUCGCGUCUGCUGUGAAAACUGGAGGCUCAACCUCCAGCCUGCAGUGGGUACGGGCAGACUAGAGUGCGGUAGGGGAGAUUGGAACUCCUGGUGUAGCGGUGGAAUGCGCAGAUAUCAGGAAGAACACCGAUGGCGAAGGCAGAUCUCUGGGCCGUAACUGACGCUGAGGAGCGAAAGCGUGGGGAGCGAACAGG
rnacentral:rRNA from 1 species